rnacentral:misc_RNA from 1 species
AACGCACCUUGCGCUCCCGGGACAUUCCUGGGAGCAUGCUUGUUUGAGUGUCGCGUACCUCUCAACCCCGCCCUUUCCGGAGGGUGGUCGGGUUGGAUCAUGACGCUUUGCCUCCACUGCGAGGCUGCGUUGAAAUGCAACAAGCUGCAUCCCGUCGCUGGCGGCUUGACCCGUUGUCGUAAAUGAACUCAACGGGGACGCCAGUGGGAACGAGCUUACCAGAACCACAUUUUUACACUUUGACCUCAAAUCAAGUAGAACUACCCGCUGAACUUAA